rnacentral:tRNA from 1 species
GCUUUAAUAGUUUAAGAAAAAUGUUAAAUUGUGAUUUUAAAGAUGUUGUUAACUUAGAGCA